rnacentral:misc_RNA from 1 species
AACGCACGAGACCUGCGGACCUGCGGAGGGAUCAUUACAGGACUCGCAAGACUCCUACAACCCUGUGAACUUAACUAUAAGCACGUUGCUUCGGCGGGUGUCUCGGCGAGGGUUCUCCCUCCCCGGGGCGCUAAGCCCGCCGGCAGCCUACUAUACUCUGUCUCUUUGCGUUGGCAUCUCGAGUACAAACAAACAAGUUAAAACUUUUAGCAAUGGAUCUCUAGAUCGGAAGAGCACACG